CUGUGCUAGAUGGGGAGCUGGCGGUGCCCUGCACCCGCAAUCCGCCACAGCGGGAUCGAAUUCCCCCUCUAGAUAUGGUCCUUUCGCCUCUAUCCAUAAGCGGUAAUGUAGACGACUGGGCCCUACGCGACGGUGCACUGUGAACCCCGCCAGGCCUGGAAGGGAGCAACGGUAAGCAGAGAGCACUGGGUGCCGAAGGAAUACCUGGUUUGAGUUGUCGUUUGAGGAUAUGCGGGAGGCUCACUAUCAAAAGGGGGUGCACAG
rnacentral:SRP_RNA from 1 species